rnacentral:snoRNA from 1 species
UUGCAUGACGAUAAAGAGCUUGUUGCUCGAACUUAACCCAGCUCGUUGAGGCGGGAGUAACGCCCCAUUGCCAUGAGAUAAAUUUCGUUCUGAACCA